UACAAAAUAAAACAUGAGGUGACAGACCACAGACCUCAAAUUCUUUGAGGUUGUGUGCAUAUGUUGAUAUUACGGACAGAUAGUCGGGAGACACCGAUAUGGAGACAGAUGUUGAUUUAUUGAGACAACAGCAGAUCUGUAGAUGGUGGUGGGUUAGUUAGUAGGGAAACCACACUGGAAUGAAGCACCCUCUGGAGUGGAAUGGAAGGAGACACACCCUGAAGUGGAUUCAUGUUUAAUAGACGUUGUCAUCGAGAGGAGUCCUUCUAGUCUUGAACGAGACCAGACAACUGACUGGGAUCCAGACAAAUUCCCCUGAGAGUUUCCAUCAACCACCUACUGGUUUUACUCCACCACUACUACCACCAGUGUCUAGACAAUGAGGGAUCUUGUCUUUUCUCCUAUCUUCAUACGGGCCUACACUUAAUGAAGAUGCUUCACAUCCAUAGAGUCUAAUCGCCAAAGUCUCGCUCUCUUGCAAUGCAAUUGCAUGUUCAAUUGACCUCUCUCCUUAUAGAUAAGUUGUUAAGAUAUUUCAGUCUGGACCAGUGACCGACAGACCGACACUGCCAUUCAUAGAGCCCCGCUGCUAGCAUGGCUAAAAAAGGGGAUAUAUCUUUGGGAACUUGCAUUAUUUUUAAAUUAUUUGUGAUUUUUUUGUUGACACCACCCUCUGGCCAUUAUUAUAUUUACAGUUGGGUUUUCUUAAUGUAACUAACGCUUGUUCAUUUGCAAUUGCUGAUUGGCACAAUACAAUUUAAACAGAAAAUUCAGAUAGCAAAAUAUUAACAUUAAUCUAGCAUCAGUACAAAAACAUUGAGAACCAGAUUUUGUCCACUGUCUUCUAUCUGAAAUGUCAACUCUCAGGAACAAAGAAAAACAGCCCUGCUUUCACAACUUGAUGGCCGAACAUUUUCCACUUUAAUUGCUUUUUAAAAGGCUUCAAAAAGCCCAAGGUUGCAGAAUUCUUUCACUGAAGAGAAUGUAAUCUUUCAAUGAUGUUAAAAAGUGAAGAUUCUGAGGCUUUUUUCCAACAGUGAUGAUAUUAAGACCUUUAUUCCAAAGUGACAGCUGAAACAUUUGAUUUGUCUUAACUUAAAAUGAUGAGGACCCCAAGAAAUAUGAUACAAGGAAAAGAUUCACUGAGAGACUGAAUGACAGUGGUGAAAUGUACUCAAGUACUGUACAAAUCUGAGGUACUUGUAUUUUAUUUGAGUCUUCUCUUUUCAUGCCACUUUCUACUUCUACUCCACUACAUUUCAGAGUGAAAUAUUGCACCUUUUAUUUCACUAGUUAUUUGACAUCUUUAGUUACUAGUUACUUUACAAAUUACAAUUUUUGCAUACAAAACAUACGAAGAGCUAUAUACAGUAUAUAUGUACAGUGGUGUGAAAAAGUGUU